UACGUAGGGGGCAAGCGUUGUCCGGAUUUAUUGGGCGUAAAGAGCGUGUAGGCGGCUUUGCAAGUCCGUUGUGAAAACUCGAGGCUCAACCUCGAGACGCCGGUGGAAACUGCAAAGCUAGAGUCCGGAAGAGGAGAGUGGAAUUCCUGGUGUAGCGGUGAAAUGCGUAGAUAUCGGGAGGAACACCUGAGGCGAAGGCGGCGACCUGGGUCGAUACUGACGCUGAUGCGCGAAAGCGUGGGGAGCAAACAGG
rnacentral:rRNA from 1 species